UCUUUGAGUGAAUAAAAAAAAAUUUAGUGUGCAUUUAAUUCAUUUUAUAAGGUAAGUAUUGGAGAGAGAAAAUAUAAAUAUUUGAUAGGAAGAUUAAUCGUAAUAGAAGUGGGUGGAUAAGGAAUAUAAAUUGAAAUUUUUUGCCUUUUGUAUAAUGAUUUAGUGAGUUUGAAAUAUUGUUUUAUAUAUUUUAUUGAAGUAGAUAGAUAUACUUUUAUUUGAAAAAGGAAGAGUUGUAAUUUUAUGUUAAGAUAGAAGUAGUUAUGAUAUGUAAAUCGGUAUCUAGGAUAGCUAGUUAUAAUUUAUUGUGAAAAACUAAGAUUUAAUUUUUUGGAGUCAAUUAAUUUAGGGUCAGCUUUAAUUAAUAUGUAAUUUUAGGUAUUGGAUUUAUUUUAUAAGUUUUUUUAAAAAAUGAAGAAGAUGGGUGUAUUUUUGUAAAUUAUUGUGAUUAUGCUAAGAAAAGUACAUGAUUCUUUUAAGUUAGGUAUAUAAUUUGAAAUAUAUUUUAUAAUUUUUAUUUUGAUAUUUUAAUAAGGAAUUUGGUUAAGUUUUGCAUGUUUACUAAAAACUUAGUUUAUUGAGACUUAUAAUAAGCAAUAUCUGCUCGGUGUUGAUUAUUUAUAUAAAAGGGGCUUAUAUUUGGAGCUUAAUGUAGCGUAGUAAUUUGGCUAUUAAUUGUAGUCUAGUGAUGGGUAUGUCGGAUCUUAAUUUGUCUUGUUAAAAAAAUUGGAAAUUUUUUCUUGGUGAAAAUACCAAGAUGUAUACAAAAGAAAAAAAGACCCUAGGUGGUUUAGGUUAAUUAAUUUGCUUAAAAUUAAAAAUCUUUAACUGGGGCAGUUGUUGAUGAAAUUUAAUUUCAAUGAUAGAAAAUUAAGGUAAAAUAUAUUUAAAGAUCCUCUAUUAUUAUAUCAUAAAGUAAAAGGGAAGCGAAAAACCAACCCUAGGGUUAACAGCGCAAUUAAUUAGGAGAGUGCAUAUUGAUUAAUUAGUUUACGACCUCGAUGUCGACUUAGAUUAACUGCUGGGUGUAGAUGCUCAGAUAAGUUUGUUUGUUCACCAAUUAAAUAUCUACGUGAGUUGGGUUUAGAACGGGGUAACUUAGUUCGGAUUUUUUCUUUGAAUAAAAAAAACAUUAGUACGAAAGGAUUGUGUUUAAUUAAUGAUAAUUGGAAUAAGU
rnacentral:rRNA from 1 species